GCGCCGAUGACCGCGCGCGGCGACGAGGUGCGCACGGCAGCGACCGUUGAAGGGUCCCGUAUAAUCUCGCCCCCUCCUCCCCUCUCACUAACAGGCGGGCCCCCACUGACAGGACCCUCUCCUGCGCCUCUCUCUCUCUCUCACGAGUCACCAACAGAGGAGCGGCGGCGGCGUCCGGCGGCGCGCAUCGAGCACGAAGGAGGCCAGGACGAAGCGGCAGGCCGACGACCAGUGGCACCUCUAUCUUCUUAGCUCCUGAUUCCUCGCCAGUGCAUAGAGAUGUCGUCGUAUGUCGUGUACAAGGGUGAGGUUCCCAGAGUCUACGACGACUAGGAGGAGUGUCGAAGACAGGUUCACCGUUUUAGCGGUAACUGUUACAAAGGGUACACCACUAAGACACAGGCGGAAGCUAGAUACGCGCGCUAUCUAGCGGGAGAGAGGAGGGAGCGGA